CAGCAAAAAAAACACUUGUUUUAAAAACACUGCCAUAAAACCAGGCCUGUUUGAGGCCCAGUUAUUACAGGGGUGUUGUGGAUAAAAAUGUUCCCAGUCUAAAUUUAAAGCUUUAGUCUUUGUGAUCCACUGUAGAAAAAAAACAGUGAAAUCAACUCAAAACAUCAGAUAAUCAGCAACAAUCCACAGAAUGACACAGCAACUUUCCUGACCUGAACCUGUAAUAAAUAUUAAACUAAUUUAAAAAACAAUAACACUAUUAAACGUAAUAUUUAACUAAUUAAAAACACAAUAAUACUAUUAAACAUGCAGUCAGUAAGAGUAAACAACUUGUAUCUAAAUUUAAAAUAAACAUUAUUAAGUUUUAAAUCUAUCCUACAAAUGAAUAACUAUAAGAUGGACUAUAGCAGUUAUUACUCAGUAACAAAAUAUAAAUAUUUGGCCUUUAAAACUAAAUAAUUUAAACAAAUUUAACAAACAAACACUGGUUAUCUAAUCACCCAUCCCCCACACCAAGGUUACAGACUUCCCUCAAUGUCACUCAAACAUCAAAAUACCGCUUUUUAUCAAUAUACCUAUUUAAAUAUCACUAAUUAAGAUACUUUACUAAUAAAAACAAAUAAAACUGCAUUAAUCCUGAAAUUAAAGUUUAAAAAGAAAAAAAGAUAAAAUUAAAAAGUGUCUACUUAAAUUAAAAAAAAUCUGAAUUAAAAAGAAAAAAAAGUGUCGAGUGGUAAAUCCAAAAAAAAGAGCGAAACCUUUCUUCCAAAAAAAAUCUUCUUUGUCUUCCAGUUGGAUACUUUUUAGCCAACACAUUUCCCCUCCAACAUGUCCUCCUUCUUCCCCCCCACUCCCCGGCCGGGUGGGGUGGGGGAGGGGAGUCAUGUGAUAAAAAAACAAAUCAUCAUACUCGAACACGUGGCAGUUCUUCAAAUCCGACAUCAAACGCGUCCACAGCCGAGUCUUUUACACAAAACAGCGCUUCUACGUCCACAUCCUGCUAGAUUUACAAAGUAUUUUCCUCAGAUUUGUAGACAAAGUUGGCAAAAUAUCCGAACAAUGAUCGUACUUUUCCGUGGCACUUGGCUCGAUCCGAUUGGUCAGCUUUGAUCACGUGACGAAAAUCAUUUCUAUUUCGCUGAUUUCCUGUUUUGUUUUUAGCUUCGUUGCGUCUCUAAUGACAAUCCAUCUCUGCUCACGCAUCUGUUUUCUUAAAUCCUAUCACAAAUAUUUUCUCCAGAUGAAGAUGAAGAUGAAGACGGCCGUCAAACUGUCGCGUGUUGCAACAUAAAUGCCGCGCAUGCGCACAUCGAGGAGCGCACACAGCAUUUCUAGAUGGACUGGUGACCCGUCCAGGCUGGACCUUUCCUCUCUGCCUCUCACCUGUUGAUCUGCUGGGAUGAUCCAACCUCCUCCUGGUUCUGAACAGAACAAAGAAGGUCCAGAACACGACUAGAGAAGCAGCUCUGUGGUGGACUUGUGGCUCAUCCAGGUUCACAGUGACAGCUGGAGAGGUACCAGCUGCGCCGUGACACUGAAUGGAAAAGCAGUAUCGGCCAUUUUGUGGAAGCAAAGACUGAAAUGGCGACUGAGGGCUUUCCCGCCUUUUUCACCCUGCAGGGUGGCACAGGACUGCUGAGAGGAGCAGCCAAGAUUACAGAUGAGUCAUUAUGAUAGAAAAAAACCCAAACAGACAUGAUUAACCCUGAACAACAGUUUUUAUUAAUUCAUCCAGAGCAGUUAAAGACUGUAAAUAUAUAAAACAACAUUUCACCCUCACUAACUUAAUCCUUAAGUUAGUUCUAAAAUAAUUCAUGCAUUUGUGUUACA